GGACCGUUUGAUGUUAGCAUAAUGAUGUUUAAAAUCUGAUAACGUAACGCUUUGUUUAAGAAAUCUUCAAGAUAACUGCUGCACAAAACAUCGGUGAUAUAAUUCUCCAUAUUCUGUUACUUUUAAAAAUCAAAACAAUUUGUGAAAUUGUCAUUGGUCCAAGGCCAUGCUGGGGCACCAUCUUCAAAGAUUUAGUCGAACAAAUCGACGCCAGUACUGAUGUUUCUCUUUUUUUUUUUUCUCUGAGUCCGGUACUUAUUCUACCGGUGUAUUUCACCGAACUUACGGUGGCGUAAACAAACCAGCACCGGUUAUCGAGCGGUAGAGGGAGCAAACACAGACGAAAAUACACACUUAUGCACACACAUACAAUAUGCAUGUGUGUGUACAAUUUGGUUUCAAAUUUUGGCACAAGGCCAGCAAUUUCAGGGAGGAAUAAGUCGAUCACAUCGACCUCAAGCUCGACUGGCACUUAUUUUAUCGACCUCGAAAUGAUGAAAAGCAAAGUCGACCCCGGCGGAAAAUGAACUCAGAACGCAAAGAUGGAAAAAAUACCGCUGACCAAUUUGCCCGGAGGCAGCUGGCUACCCUGUGUAUGCAUAAUUUAUCGUCUCGAACUUAUACCAUUUUAGUGAAUCAAUAAUAAAUCAAUUCUUUUAA